UACGUAGGGUGCGAGCGUUGUCCGGAAUUAUUGGGCGUAAAGGGCUCGUAGGCGGUUUGUCGCGUCGGGAGUGAAAACCUCGGGCUUAACUCGGGGCUUGCUUUCGAUACGGGCAGACUAGAGGUAUGCAGGGGAGAACGGAAUUCCUGGUGUAGCGGUGAAAUGACGCAGAUAUCAGGAGGAACACCGGUGGCGAAGGCGGGUCUCUGGGCCGAUGAUCUGACGCUGAGGAGCGAAAG
rnacentral:rRNA from 1 species